rnacentral:rRNA from 1 species
CCUACGGGUGGCAGCAGUGAGGAAUAUUGGUCAAUGGCCGGAAGGCUGAACCAGCCAUGCCGCGUGAAGGUCAGUGCCCUAUGGGCGUUAAACUUCUUUUGUGCGGGAGCAAUAAUGGUCACGUGUGGCCAGACGAGAGUACCGUACGAAAAAGCAUCGGCUAACUCCGUGCCAGCAGCCGCGGUAAUACGGAGGAUGCGAGCGUUAUCCGGAUUUAUUGGGUUUAAAGGGUGCGCAGGCGGGAGAUCAAGUCAGCGGUAAAAGGUCGGGGCUCAACCCCGGCCGGCCGUUGAAACUGGUUUUCUAGAGUUGGAGAGAAGUAUGCGGAAUUCGUGGUGUAGCGGUGAAAUGCAUAGAUAUCACGAAGAACUCCGAUUGCGAAGGCAGCUUACUAAACUGCCACUGACAUUGAUGCUCGAAAGUGUGGGUAUCAAACAGGAUUAGAUACCCCAGUAGUC